ACUUGGUAAGUAUCUUCUGCGCUUUGAGUUGAUUCUAUUCUACACAAGUUUGCCGUGAAAUCGCUAUAGAAAUCAAGCUAAAUCUCCUCUAUUUUGCCUGUGUACAUGUAGUAUCGGUGUUCAUGUAGUAUCUAUAAACAAGCUUGGAGUAUAUCUGCGUACAUGUAGGAUCUCCUCCAGUAAACAUGCCUUCCAUGUUGAUGCACGAAGCCUGCAGGUGUUGAGGCUCACUGAAGGUGUUGAGGCUAACUGAAGUUGUUUCUUAUUUAAUUGAGAGUUUUAACUUUUGCUAGCCUGUAUGAAAGAAGCAAUGUAAGAACAGAUCAUCUCUAUUAGAUCAUCACCGUUUCAAAUUUUAA